AGAGUUUGAUCCUGGCUCAGGAUGAACGCUGGCGGCGUGCCUAAUACAUGCAAGUCGAACGAAUCUCUUCGGAGAUGAGUGGCGAACGGGUGAGUAAUACAUAGGUAACCUGCCCCUGUGCGGGGGAUAACAGGAGGAAACUCCUGCUAAUACCGCAUAGCCAUGAGCACCGCAUGGAGCUCAUGCCAAAUAUCCUUUCGGGGAUAGCGCAGGGAUGGACCUAUGGCGCAUUAGCUUGUUGGCGGGGCAACGGCCCACCAAGGCAACGAUGCGUAGCCGGCCUGAGAGGGCGGACGGCCACAUUGGGACUGAGACACGGCCCAGACUCCUACGGGAGGCAGCAGUAGGGAAUUUUCGGCAAUGGGGGAAACCCUGACCGAGCAACGCCGCGUGAGCGAAGAAGGCCUUCGGGUCGUAAAGCUCUGUUGUAAAGGAAGAACGGCGCAUACAGGAAAUGGUAUGCGAGUGACGGUACUUUACCAGAAAGCCACGGCUAACUACGUGCCAGCAGCCGCGGUAAUACGUAGGUGGCGAGCGUUAUCCGGAAUCAUUGGGCGUAAAGAGGGAGCAGGCGGCCGCAAGGGUCUGUGGUGAAAGACCGAAGCUAAACUUCGGUAAGCCAUGGAAACCGGGCGGCUAGAGUGCGGAAGAGGAUCGUGGAAUUCCAUGUGUAGCGGUGAAAUGCGUAGAUAUAUGGAGGAACACCAGUGGCGAAGGCGACGGUCUGGGCCGCAACUGACGCUCAUUCCCGAAAGCGUGGGGAGCAAAUAGGAUUAGAUACCCUAGUAGUCCACGCCGUAAACGAUGGUCACUAAGUGUCGGGGGUCAAACCCCGGUGCUGCAGUCAACGCAAUAAGUGACCCGCCUGAGUAGUACGUUCGCAAGAAUGAAACUCAAAGGAAUUGACGG
rnacentral:rRNA from 1 species